GAUGAACGCUGGCGGCGUGCUUAACACAUGCAAGUCGAACGAAGCAACAUUGACCGAAGCCUUCGGGUGAAAGAUGAUGUUGACUGAGUGGCGGACGGGUGAGUAACGCGUGAGUAACCUACCUCGUACAGGGGGAUAACAGUUGGAAACGACUGCUAAUACCGCAUAAGCGCACGGGAUUGCAUAAUCCAGUGUGAAAAACUCCGGUGGUACGAGAUGGACUCGCGUCUGAUUAGCUGGAUGGUGAGGUAAUGGCUCACCAUGGCGACGAUCAGUAGCCGACCUGAGAGGGUGACCGGCCACAUUGGGACUGAGACACGGCCCAAACUCCUACGGGAGGCAGCAGUGGGGAAUAUUGCACAAUGGGGGAAACCCUGAUGCAGCGACGCCGCGUGAAGGAUGAAGUAUUUCGGUAUGUAAACUUCUAUCAGCAGGGAAGAAAAUGACGGUACCUGACUAAGAAGCCCCGGCUAAUUACGUGCCAGCCGCCGCAGUAAAAC
rnacentral:rRNA from 1 species